AUUGAACGCUGGCGGCAGGCUUAACACAUGCAAGUCGAGCGGGGGAGGUUGCUUCGGUAACUGACCUAGCGGCGGACGGGUGAGUAAUGCUUAGGAAUCUGCCUAUUAGUGGGGGACAACAUUCCGAAAGGAAUGCUAAUACCGCAUACGCCCUACGGGGGAAAGCAGGGGAUCUUCGGACCUUGCGCUAAUAGAUGAGCCUAAGUCGGAUUAGCUAGUUGGUGGGGUAAAGGCCUACCAAGGGGACGAUCUGUAGCGGGUCUGAGAGGAUGAUGCGCCAAACUGGGACUGUAACGCGGCGCAGACUCCUACGGGAGGCAGCAGUGGGGAAUAUUGGACAAUGGGCGGAAGCCUGAUCCAGCCAUGCCGCGUGUGUGAAGAAGGCCUUUUGGUUGUAAAGCACUUUAAGCGAGGAGAAGGCUCUUAAGGUUAAUACCCUUGAUGAGUGGACGUUACUCGCAGAAUAAGCACCGGCUAACUCUGUGCCAGCCGCCGCCGUAACAC
rnacentral:rRNA from 1 species